rnacentral:rRNA from 1 species
GAACUGAUUAGAAGCUUGCUUCUAUGACGUUAGCGGCGGACGGGUGAGUAACACGUGGGCAACCUGCCUGUAAGACUGGGAUAACUUCGGGAAACCGAAGCUAAUACCGGAUAGGAUCUUCUCCUUCAUGGGAGAUGAUUGAAAGAUGGUUUCGGCUAUCACUUACAGAUGGGCCCGCGGUGCAUUAGCUAGUUGGUGAGGUAACGGCUCACCAAGGCAACGAUGCAUAGCCGACCUGAGAGGGUGAUCGGCCACACUGGGACUGAGACACGGCCCAGACUCCUACGGGAGGCAGCAGUAGGGAAUCUUCCGCAAUGGACGAAAGUCUGACGGAGCAACGCCGCGUGAGUGAUGAAGGCUUUCGGGUCGUAAAACUCUGUUGUUAGGGAAGAACAAGUACGAGAGUAACUGCUUGUACCUUGACGGUACCUAACCAGAAAGCCACGGCUAACUACGUGCCAGCAGCCGCGGUAAUACGUAGGUGGCAAGCGUUAUCCGGAAUUAUUGGGCGUAAAGCGCGCGCAGGCGGUUUCUUAAGUCUGAUGUGAAAGCCCACGGCUCAACCGUGGAGGUCAUUGGAAACUGGGAACUUGAGUGCAGGAAGAGAAAAGCGGAAUUCCACGUGGAGCGGUGAAAUGCGUAGAGAUGUGGAGGAACACC